CAGCAGCCGCGGUAAUGAGAAGGGGGCUAGCGUUGCUCGGAAUUACUGGGCGUAAAGGGAGCGUAGGCGGGUCGUUUAGUCAGAGGUGAAAUCCCGGGGCUCAACCUCGGAACUGCCUUUGAUACUGGCGACCUUGAGUAUGGGAGAGGUGAGUGGAACUCCGAGUGUAGAGGUGAAAUUCGUAGAUAUUCGGAAGAACACCAGUGGCGAAAGCGACUCACUGGCCCAUUACUGACGCUGAGGCUCGAAAGCGUGGGGAGCAAACAGGAUUAGAUACCCGUGUAGUCCCUGUCUCUUAUAA
rnacentral:rRNA from 1 species